ACUAAGCAAUACUGCUCCUGCACAGAGGAAUGGAGGAGACAAUCCUAACAAUAGUCUGGAGCAAGACAUCAUCCAACUUGUUAGUAGAACUGCCUCACAAAUAGUCCCAGGAAAUGAUAUAAACAUGGCAGCAACUGGCUAUGGUGGCGGUGGUGGCUUUGGCUAUGGAAGAGGAGUCAUCGGAUAAUCAAUUGUUAUCUACCAAGAAGAAAGAUGAAUCAAGAAACAGCUUUAAGAUUAUUGAAUGGGUGUUCUAAAUGCUAUUUCAUAUUCUACUGCCAUCAUUGCAAGUUGGUGUCGGAAACCUGUGAAGGAAAACUUCAAGCAAGGCUGCAAGUGACUUCACCUGCUUACUGUUAUGAUGUUACUUUCUCUUUUAGCCAUUUACAUCCUGUGAAACUGAAUUAUAAGAUGCAAUAAAUGUACUGCUGAUAAUAGAAACAUAACAUUGACAAGUUUGGUUAGACAUUUUUGUUCAAAUAAGAGUCCUUGAAAUAUAGCAAUUCAUCUACGUUUUCUGUUCCAGAUACAUACUAUACACUGAUCUGAUUUGUAGAUUAUGAUUUAUGCAAAGAUUUGAAAACCUGUAUUGUGCUUGUCAUUAUCUGAAAUUAAAGCAAUGCAUAUA